UUCAUUCUCGGGAAGCAAAAAACUUAGUGUCUGCCCUGCCAUCCUAUCUCCUUUCCCUCCUGGUUGCCAGGAGCAGGGAGCAAGGGACAGAGUAGGUAGAGGGAAUGCCCCUAUGACUCUGCCACUUGACAGGCUGACAAGCUUGGGCUGGGACAUGGCAGCGUCCCUGUUGCCGGGCAACUCCAUUGUUGCCUCAGAGACAGGAGGGGUGGGGCUGGUGCUCAGAGAGGUGGCCAGCGAGAAGCACCGCAGUCAUGGAAUGGGCACAACCACGGACAGGUCUGCACUGCCGUGUCUAUGAUUGCAGUUUCAAAAACCUCACAGAACCACAGUUACGGCUGCAUCCGCAUCCAAAUGUAACACUUCAGCAACCAAACCUCAGGUCUCAACAGCGAACUUUACUGCAAAUCGAAGGUUCAGAUUGGAGUUUGGAAAAAAUUGUUUGUAGCAGUUCUUGGAUAUGAUCCAUAAGAAGAAAGAAAGCCAUUGACCAACUCACCAUCAUAAUCUGGGAAACAAAUGCUGAGGUGUACUUUCUUGAUCUUUUCCUCAAAGAGGUCCUUCUUGUUCAAGAACAGAAUAAUGGAGGUGGCAGCAAAGAACUUGUGAUUGCAUAUACUGUUGAACAGAUGCAAAGAUUCAUGCAUGCGGUUCUAGAAGUGGAAGGAUCAAACAUUUUUUUUUAAACAUGAAGCUGAAAAGAUUUUAUUCAAAGUGUGUGUGUGUUCUGUCUUCAGUACAUGCAGCUCGAGAACUUCCUCAAUAAAAGAUGUGACCAUUACACAAAA